GAGCUGCAGGAAGUGCAGAACAAAAGACCAAUCAACAAGCGGAGAUUACUCUGACAGCUGGAAAUCCACAGGGAUUAGAUGACCACUGGAUCAAUCAGCUGGUGUGCAAAUGAGGCAGUGCUGCUAAGGAGCAACCAGAGGAAAGCGCCAGCUCAUACCUGCAACAGGAGAGGGCUUCUGUAGAACCACCCAGCGAGUCUUCCACUGCACAGAGAUCUGCGGGACCGCUUCCUCUGACUGAAAUGAAACCUCAGAAUAACAAAAUCCUCCAGACUUCCAUCAUGGUGACAUUUGGUUACAUUUAAAACAUCAAAGUCAAGAAAAGUGGACACCAUUGUGCACUUACAGGCACCACAUCCCCGCUGCUAUUUAAAGUUGAAGAGGGAGAGUUAGUGGAUCGUUCAUUCAUAGAAUAUUUCCCCUGAUCUGGAGCAUCCAUGUGUGUUGGGUUAAGACACAUCUGAGCAGAAUUGGUUUCAAUUCCUAUUGAAACAUGGAUCUGGUCCUGGUCCCUAACAGCAGUAUUGUUUGAACAGCACAGAUAUGAACUGAAUGAAGGUCAACCACCGUGAAGGAUGUGGGCUGUUAUCACUGAACAUGUGAUGACACUUCUUUUCUCACAGCACUGCAAACCAAACCUCAACACAUUCAUAUGAGACACUUUAACUUACAGAGAACAAACAGUCGUAAAAACCCCAAACGCAGUUUUUAUGUUUAAAGCUGCUCUAUCCUUUACACUCUGCAAAUGUAUUAUUACAAAGAGCUCCACUAGGAGGCGCUAUAGGUUUAUUGUAAAGUAACAUCAGUGUUACGACAGACUGUAUGUUUUACGGCAGUUACAAUGCGAGUUUGUCUGAUGUAGAAUGCCUUCCUUGAAACCUGUUGUAAAACAGUUAAAAAUCCUUCCCUGAAUCCGUGAGUUCAUGACAUGGUGUCAGAAGUCGCUCCUUCGCCCUUGUCAAGAUUGAAGCAACAGGAUGGCUAAUUUAUCACCUUUACCUUUCCGGAUGACGUUCAAGACUAUUAUGGCAAAGUUAUGAAAAGGUUUGAUGAACAUUUUGUACCAAAGCACAAUACGAUACAUGAAUGCGCCUGUUUCCAAGGGGAGAGCGUGGAGCCGUUUGUGAGGGAGUUGUAUAAGCUCACGGAGCACUGCGACUUCGGACCGACGAAAGACGAACAGAUAAGGGAUUGGCAUCACGGAUGGAGACGCAUCGCAGAAGCUACAGCUGGAACCCGACUUAACCUUGGAAAAAGCAUCAGUAUUGCACAACAAUCAGAGCUGUUUAAAACUCAAAAUGCCAGCGCCAGAGCAACAAGGGUUGAGGGUGCCACGUCACACCGGUAGAGAAAACCAGCUUUAAGGGACGUCAUGAAAAUGGAACAUAUUGUUGUCAUGAUGUGUG